rnacentral:lncRNA from 1 species
AUGAAGGUCAGACCUGUGGCUGUGAUGUCACAGAGCACAUGGAGUCAGAGGUCUAAUGGUCUGAUGGAAAAGCAGAGGCAAAAGCGACACUGGGCAGGGGUAAGGGCUGGGACACGGAGAGGGCAGGAGCCUGGGAGCAGUGGGAGCGGAGGACAGAGGCCCUGGUGGGUGGGCAGGCCCUUGACCUCCCUGGGCUCCCAGCCCCACAGGGUAGCAUUCCUGGCUGCCAUCCUGCUGCUGCUGCUGCUGCAGGUAAAAGGAGCCAAGACUCAGAAGAGCAGCACAGGGCCAGAGGAGGGGGCCCUGGAAGAGAAAACGCCCCCUGCAGAGCAGGGCCAAGAGCAGUAUGAAGAGCACUUCAUGGCCUCCUCGGAGGGUGAGAAGUGGCAGGUGAUGGACAUGGCCCGGCAAGAGGAGGACUUCACCUCUGACACAGCAGCUGCCCAAGACCACCGCCUCUUCGAUCUGGCUCUCUGCUUUAACUUGGCCAGCAUCAUGGUUUUUUUCUUUUUUUUUGAGGGAUGUUGAGAAUAAGGAGAUGGCUUGGCUCCUGGAGGAGGAAGACCCAGAUUUUUUUUCCUUGACUUCUUGAUCGCUUACUGAUCUCCACUCUCUACUGGGUUCCAUGCCACAGCUCCCCAAAGAGAUACCCACACCACUCCCUGCACACUGCUCCCUGCUCUUGCCAGCGGCACCUGUCCUUAGGGUGCAGCCUUUCCUGCAUGGCUUCUGCCUGAUGCCACCCCAAGCCCACAGCUCUAUGGUCCAGGGCCAGAGGCCUCAGAGCCGUGCCCUUUUCCCUCCCAUGCCUCCACUGGUUUUGUCCAAUAUAGCAGAUUGGAGGGCAGAGGCAUUGACAGUAAAACAGCAAUAAAAUCCUGAAAAUAAUUAGGAGAAACUUUCUGAGACUUAACCAAGCCCUUGAGUUUCUAACUGCUCUGUUUAAUUGCCCAGUCUUUGACCUUCAGACCCACCAACUCACCGGGUGCCUAUUCUUUCCUAUUCUAAUGUUCAGGGAGCCCUUCUUGACAUUUUUCCCUCUUAUCUUUUCUGACUUCUAGGAAUAAAAAAUAGCAUGUAAAUCAUUAAGAGAUGACAGAAGCCAAGUGUCAGCUUUUAUUUUUGGAAG